ACGAACGCUGGCGGCGUGCUUAACACAUGCAAGUCGAACGCUGAAACCGGAGCUUGCUUCGGUGGAUGAGUGGCGAACGGGUGAGUAACACGUGAGCAACCUGCCCUUCACUCUGGGAUAAGCGCUGGAAACGGUGUCUAAUACUGGAUACGACCUAUCACCGCAUGGUGUGUGGGUGGAAAGAUUUAUCGGUGGGGGAUGGGCUCGCGGCCUAUCAGCUGGUUGGUGGGGUAAUGGCCUACCAAGGCGACGACGGGUAGCCGGCCUGAGAGGGUGACCGGCCACACUGGGACUGAGACACGGCCCAGACUCCUACGGGAGGCAGCAGUGGGGAAUAUUGCACAAUGGGCGCAAGCCUGAUGCAGCAACGCCGCGUGAGGGAUGACGGCCUUCGGGUUGUAAACCUCUUUUAGUAGGGAAGAAGCCGCAAGGUGACAGUACCUGCAGAAAAAGCACCGGCUAACUACGUG
rnacentral:rRNA from 1 species